CGUUGUUCGGAUUCACUGGGCGUAAAGGGUGCGUAGGUGGUCGGGUAAGUCUGAUGUGAAAUCUCCAAGCUUAACUUGGAAAUGGCAUUGGAUACUAUUCGGCUAGAGGGUUUGAGGGGGGACUGGAAUACUUGGUGUAGCAGUGAAAUGCGUAGAUAUCAAGUGGAACACCAGUGGCGAAGGCGACUUCCUGGACCAAUACUGACGCUCAGGUGCGAAAGCGUGGGGGAGCAAACAGG
rnacentral:rRNA from 1 species